rnacentral:tRNA from 1 species
UGAGAGGUGGCCGAGUGGUUGAUGGCAACAGUCUUGAAAACUGUCGAAGUUAAUAGCUUCCGCGAGUUCGAAUCUCGCCCUCUCCGCCA